AACGAACGCUGGCGGCGCGCCUAAUACAUGCAAGUCGAGCGAGAAGACGUAGCAAUACGUUUGUAAAGCGGCGAACGGGUGAGGAAUACAUGGGUAACCUACCCUCGAGUGGGGAAUAACUAGCCGAAAGGUUAGCUAAUACCGCGUACGCUCCUUGGACUUCGGUUCAGGGAGGAAAGGCGAUACCGUGGGUAUCGCGCUCUUGGAUGGGCUCAUGUCCUAUCAGCUUGUUGGUGAGGUAACGGCUCACCAAGGCUUCGACGGGUAGCUGGUCUGAGAGGACGAUCAGCCACACUGGCACUGCGACACGGGCCAGACUCCUACGGGAGGCAGCAGUAAGGAAUAUUGCGCAAUGGGCGAAAGCCUGACGCAGCGACGCCGCGUGGGGGGAUGGAAGGUCUUCGGUAUUGUAAACCCCUUUCGGAGGGAAGAUGGAACGAGCAAUCGUUCGGACGGUACCUCCAGAAG
rnacentral:rRNA from 1 species